CUAUCAACUCUCGAUGGUAGAGUAGUGGUCUACCAUGGUUUCAACGGGUAACGGGGAAUUAGGGUUCUACUCCGGAGAGGGAGCCUGAGAAACGGCUACCACAUCCAAGGAAGGCAAGCAGGCGCGCAAAUUACCCAAUCCCGACACGGGGAGGUAGUGACAAUAAAUACUGAUACAGGGCUCUUUUGGGUCUUGUAAUUGGAAUGAGUACAAUUUAAAUCCCUUAACGAGGAACAAUUGGAGGGCAAGUCUGGUGCCAGCAGCCGCGGUAAUUCCAGCUCCAAUAGCGUAUAUUAAAGUUGUUGCAGUUAAAAAAGCUCGUAGUUG
rnacentral:rRNA from 1 species